AUGCAUCCAGUGUCCUUUUUUAAAAAAAAUGUUUUUUUGGCCGCUCUGCAAGGCUUGUGGAAUCUUAGCUCCCCACCAGGGAUUGAACCCAGGUCACGGCAGUGAAAGCGCUGAGUCCUAACCACUGGACCACCAGGGGAUUCCCUCCAGUAUCCUUUUUUAUAUAUAGGUAUGACAUAUCUCUUUGUCCCUUUUGAUAUUUCCCGGUCUUGAGUUUUAUUUUGUCAUAUAUUAGAAUUUCUAGUUUUGGAUAAUUAAACAUCUUUCAAGAUUACAAAAAUUAUAUACGAAUAAAUGCUCCUCUCAUUGAGAUGUGGGGUCUGUGUUUUCUUCCCUUCAAUUUGGGGGAGUUGGUGACUUCACCGACCAGUAGAGUAUGGCAGAAGUGAAGUCAUGUGACGUCUGAAGCUCGGUCAUAAGAAGCAUGCAGUUUCCUUCUUGUUUGCUAGAACACCCACUCUUGAAGCCCUGUCUCCACCUAAGAAGUUUGGUUACUCUGAGACCACCAUGCUGUGAGGAAGCCCAAGCCACGUGGAGAGGCCAUGCAUAAGUGCUCCGUCUAUAGUCCCUCCUGAGCAUAGCCUUCGAGUCAUCUCAGCCCAGGUGCCAGACACAUAAGGGAAGAAGAUUCCAGAUGUUCCUCCUCAUUUUCUGAGAUACUCUCAGCUUUUGAGCCCUCCCUGCUGAGGCCCCAGACAUCAUGGAGCAGAGACAAGCCGUCCCUGGCUGUUGGUGACUCAGCCACUCAACAAGCACCACUGGGGGCCACUGAAUGCAGAACACCAUCAGACCUGCUAUGAAGAGACACAGAGGACCCUCAGAAGGAAAAAACCCACCCCAGACCCAAGAACAAUAUAGAAGAUUUACGCUGAGAAAUCCUUGUGAUGAUAUCGAGCCACCUGGAGAAUUUCCCAUCUCAGGAUCCUUACCUUAAUCACACCUGCAGAACGCCUUCCUUUUGCCGUGUAAGAGACCCUGGAAGACCCCUCACCCCUCUGCCAUGGGAGGAUGUACCGAAAAGUCACAGGUCUUUGACCCAGAAGAAGCCCCUCACGUGACCUUGCUGGUACCCUGAUCCUGGACUUGCAGCCUCCAGAACUGUGAGC